UGCGUAGGCGGUUUGGUAAGUCAGAUGUGAAAUUCCUGGGCUCAACCGAGGAACUGCAUUUGAUACUGCCAGACUAGAGUACUGGAGAGGAGACUGGAAUUCACGGUGUAGCAGUGAAAUGCGUAGAUAUCGUGAGGAAGGCCAGUGGCGAAGGCGAGUCUCUGGACAGUAACUGACGCUGAGGCACGAAGGCCGAGGGGAGCAAACG
rnacentral:rRNA from 1 species